UUAUAUAUUCUAAUAAUCUUAAAACUACACCUAGUGGUGAAAGUGGGAGUACUUGAAUUAUAGGUUAACUUGGAAAAACAUUUUCGAAUGCCACACUAACACAGAAUAAUAGAGUAAAAAUAAUUUAAGCAACGUUAUAUCAUUUAUUAAGUUUUUCCUUUUUUUUUCGAAUUAAAAUUUGUUUAUUGUAAAAAAGAUAAUGUCUACUUUUGAUACAAAAAAUAAUGAUGAUUGUCCACGUGGUCGCGGAGGUGGUGGUAAAUAUCAUCAUCAGCAUAAUCGUCGUCGCCGUGGUGGUAUUGGUGGUGGUAAUAGUGGAUAUAAAACUAAACAAUAUAAUAAUGACAAUAAAAACAAAAAAAGAUCAAGUAAUGAAUUUAACAAUGUAAAAAGAACAAAAUAUGAGUCAUCAACAAAUCGUCUUAAAGAGAUUGACAUUGGAGUAAGUGAAUUUAUGGGUACCCAUAAACACUUUACUGGUAUUUUUAAAGAACGUUUUAGUGACUUUAAUGUUCAUGAAAUAGAUUGUAAUGGAAAAAUAUCAACAUUAACAACACAAGAAAUUCCACCAGAACCGGAAGAUGAUAUUGACGUAGACAAACUAAAAAAAAGUUUACCUAUAGACAUAUUAGAAAAACUUGAUAACUUUAUCAAUAGUGAGACUGAUGAUGUCAACAAUCCAGUUACAUCAAUUGAAAUUGAUGUAACUAACAUUGAUAAAGAUCACCGACGUAAUAUUCAUACUAUUGCCAAAAAAAUAAAACAAGUAAAUAGUCAAACUAUUGAUAGAGACAAUAAGAAACUAUUAGUUCUUACUAAAACUAAUAACGACAAUAAUAAAAAAAAAAAUAAUACUAUAUACAAAAAAUAUGGAUUCCAUCGAGACAUUCGUAUUAACUGGUCUCUUCGUGAGGGUCCUUAUUGCAAAUUUAUUUUACACAAAGUUAAUCUUGAUACAAUGGAUGCGUUAAAUCAAUUAGCUGUUAAUUUACGUAUACGUCCAAAUUUUUUAAAUUACUCAGGAACAAAAGAUCGUCGUGGGUGUACAACUCAGUGGGUUACUGCUAAACAAAUUCAUCCAUCUUUAAUUUUAGAAGCUGGAAAACGUAUUCGUGGUGUAUAUGUUGGUAAUUUUGAAUUUACUAAAAACUCACUUAAAUUGGGAAUGUUAAAAGGCAAUCAUUUUACAAUAGCUUUACGUAAUAUUACUGCUUCUGAUGAAGAAAUUGAAUCAGCAAUUGUAAAUUUACGUGAUUAUGGAUUUAUAAAUUAUUAUGGAUUACAAAGAUUUGGUAGUGUAGCAGCUAUACCAACUCACGAAAUAGGUAAAGCUUUAUUAAAAGCUAAUUAUAAUGAAGCUAUUGAUUUAAUACUAAAACCACGUGCUGGUGAUUAUAAAGACAUGGCUGAUGCACGUGAAAUUUAUUAUAAAACUAAAGAUGCAGGUAAAGCAUUAAAAUGUAUCAACAGAUUAGAUAAAAUAGAAGCUAAAUUAUUAAAAGGUAUUGAAUUAAAUGGUGUAUCUAAUCCACAAGGUGCUUUAGAUUAUAUACCAAGAAAUACAAGAUUAAUGUAUAUUCAUUCAUAUCAAAGUUUUAUUUGGAAUCAUAUAGUAUCACGUAGAAUCGAAAAAUUUGGACGCAAACCAAUUGUUGGUGAUCUUGUUUAUGCUACUCAACCAAAUUUAGAUAAAAAACAACAAAAAUUUCAAGCAAAUGAAGAAGAAUUAAAUGAAAUACUAGAUAAUGAUGAUGAUAAUGAUAAUGAUGAUAAAAUUGAUAUUGAUUUAGAAAAUGAUGAAAAAUCAUUACCAGCAGUUAAAAUUCUUAAUGAAAAUGAUUUGUCAAAUUAUACAUUUGCUGAUAUUAUUAUACCACUACCCGGACAUAAGGUUAUAUAUCCAUCAUAUGCUAAAGUUUGGUAUGAAGAAUUUAUGGACAAAGAUAAUUUAAAUAUUGAUUUAAAAAAUAAGAAUAAAAAAUAUUCGUUAAGUGGAGCAUAUAGAAAUAUUAUUCAAGUACCAGAUAAUUUAUCAUGGAAAAUUUUACAGUACAAUGAUAUUAAUAGUGAUUUAAUUCUUUCCGAUAUUGAUAAAAUCCGAGGUAAUGAAGAAAAGAUUAAACAAAUUUCAGAGGGUAAAUAUAAAGCUUUAAUAUUAGAGAUGUCCUUAAAAUCAUCGACCUAUGCAACGAUGGCUUUACGAGAAAUUUUAAAACAUGAUACGUCAGCUGAAACUCAAGCAGCUCAAACAGCUGCUUAUCAUGAUGCUUCAAUUAACCAGCAGGAAUUUAAUGAAAAAAAUGAUCUUAUUGAUGAAAAUGAACAGUUUCAAGUUCCAGAUAUUAAAAAAUAUAAUGUAAUUGAGUUGGAAAAAAAACAGCUAAUGGAAACUGAUGAGUCUGUUGUUGAGGCAUAAAUAGGUAAUAAAGUUUAAUCUUUAUUUUAAAUUUUAAUCAUUAAAUUCAAUUCAUUUUUUCUCCAUAAUUAUUUAAAAUUUUUACCAUUAUCUUGAUCAUAUUUGUGAAAUAUAUAUAUUUAUAUUUAGCAUUAAAUCUUUUUUUUAUGUAUUAUAAAUAUUUAAAAAUUAUUCAUAAAAAUUUAUAUGACUCAAAAAUAUUAAACAUAAAAACAGCUUUGAAGUAAUAUAUUAUAAAAAAAGUGACAGAUAGAAAAAGAGAAACACAAUAGAAUACAUAUAUAUAUAUAUAUGUGUGUAAGAAAAAUAUUUAUUUCGAUGUUUCAAAUGUGUGUAUAGAUUUAGAUAUGUGUGGAAUAUGAACAAUAAAGAAUUUAUAAUUUUUAUAAAUUAUAAUUUUAUCAUAAAAAAUAAAAUAAUCUAACAAAUGUAUCCAUCGCAUGAUUUGAAUAAUGACUUUUACGCUGUUAUUUUAUUUGAGUUUAUUAUCAAUUUAAACAUCAUUAUUUCAUUAGUAUUCAGAAAAUCUGUAAGUUAAUAUUAAUCUAUUUAGAUCAGAUUAAUUAUUAGGAUUUUUGUUGUUAUUAUUAUUAUUAUUGUUGUUAGUUGAACUACGAGUAUUUAAUGAGCUGUCGAUAUUUGAUGAGCUACUGCUGCUGCUGCUACUACUACUUCCACUAGUAUUUAUUGGUUCACUAACUUUAUUAUUUAUUGCAUGCUGUUGAGGACGUGAAUUCUCGUUUGUUCUAUGCAUGUGUAUAUCGGAAUUUUCAAAACUCUUACUCGAAUGACUACUGCUGAUCUUUUCAGGAUUUUUUUGAUUAUUUUCAUAAUUUUUAUCAGCGGAAUUUUUAUUGUCAUUAAUAAUUCUGUUAGCAUUGUUGUUGUAUUUGCUCUUUUCGAUGUUAAUGUUGUUAUUUUUAUCAUUUUCAUUAUUUUUGUUGUUUUGAUUAAUAUUAUCGUUUCUGUUAUUGUUAUCAUUAUUGUUAAUAUUGAUGUUGUUUUUUUUUAUGUUGUUAUUGUCGAUAUUUAUGUUGUUGUUUUUUUUCACAAUGUCAUUAUUGUUAAGAUUGUUAUUAUUGUUAAUGUUGUUACUAUUAUGGUUGAUUUUAUUGUUAUUAUUGAUAUUGUGGUUGUUUUCGUUGUUAUGUUCAUUUUUAUUAUUGUUAUUAUUCAUCUUGUCGUUGUUGUUUUUGUUAGUGUCUGAAUUUUUUGGGACAUUAGUAUUUGAUAAGUUAUCAAUAUUAAAUGAACUGCUGCUGCUGCUGCUGCUGUUACUGCUCCCGCUGUUACUGCUACCACUGUGAGCAUUAAUUGGUUUAUCAAUCUUAGUAUCCGUAUCAUGCUUUGAUAAUGAUAAACUGUCGCUGAUUAUAUGUUUAUCAGUAAUAACUGUAGAACUGCUACUUGAUUCGGAAUUCUUCUUAUCAUGUUUUAAGUUUUCGUUGUUAUAUAAAAUUUCAUUUUUUUUUAUACUGGGUGAUUCUUUAUUCACUGAUAUUACUCUAUCAUUAUUCAAUUUAACAUGUUUAUCUGAAACAAUAUAAUUGUUUAAAAAUAUAAAAAAAAAAGAAGAAAUAAUAAUAUUUUACCAUUUUCAUACUGCUGAUUAACAUCAUUAUUUGUAGUAAUGGGUCCUUCUGGGUUUUUUUUCAUAAAAUUAAAAUUUUCGGUGAUAGUAUUAAAAUCAAUAAAACUGGCAAGGAAUAUUGAAACCACUGCUAAUGUGAUAGCCGUUAAAUAACCUUUAAUGGCUUUCAUCAUUAUAUAUAUAUAUAAAUAUAAAAAAAAAAUUAAAUUUUUUUUUUUUUU